rnacentral:tRNA from 2 species
GCCGGAGUGGUGGAACUGGUAGACGCGCUGCGUUCAGGGCGCAGUGGGCGCAAGCCCGUGCGGGUUCGAGUCCCGCCUUCGGCA